rnacentral:rRNA from 1 species
UACGGGGGGGGCAAGCUUUGUUCGGAAUUACUGGGCGUAAAGGGCUCGUAGGGGGCCAACUAAGUCAGACGUGAAAUCCCUCGGCUUAACCGGGGAACUGCGUCUGAUACUGGAUGGCUUGAGUUCGGGAGAGGGAUGCGGAAUUCCAGGUGUAGCGGUGAAAUGCGUAGAUAUCUGGAGGAACACCGGUGGCGAAGGCGGCAUCCUGGACCGACACUGACACUGAGGAGCGAAAGCCAGGGGAGCAAACGGG